rnacentral:lncRNA from 1 species
UCUCGAGAACUUGGUGAAAUCAGGCACCUUGUAUCGGUGAGGUAAUGGCAACAUGUCGUAGGCCGGUGGGUACAACGUUCUGUACGUGUAGGUCUGCACUUUACGUUUUAGCCCGAACUGAUCUUGCAUCACCUAGGCUAUCUUUGCAGCCCAAUUGACCUGUUGUUGCUGCUGCUAGACCAUAGGUUGGAGCAUUGGUUGGACGGUCGGCACCUGCUGUUGAAUUUGUGGCACCAUAAUUGGUUGUUGGAUAGCCAACAUGUGUUGCAGGUGCUG